rnacentral:SRP_RNA from 1 species
GCUGGGCUCUGUGGCGCACACCUGCAGUGCCAGCUACUUGGGAGGCUGAGCCAGGAAAAUGGCUUGAGCUCAGGAGUUCUGGGCUGUACUGCACUAUGCAGAUCGUGUGUUCAGAGUAAGUUCGGCAUCAAUAUGGUGACCUCCCAGGAGUGGGGACCACCAGGUUACUUAAGGAGGGGUGAACCGGCCCAGGUCUGAAAUGGAGCAGGUCAAAACUGCCGUGAUGAUCAAAGAAUUCUUUACCCUAUUCAGCCUGUGGAGAUAAACGACCUCCU